rnacentral:rRNA from 1 species
UUAGAGUUUGAUCAUGGCUCAGAGUGAACGCUGGCGGUAGGCCUAACACAUGCAAGUCGAACGGCAGCACAGGAGAGCUUGCUCUCUGGGUGGCGAGUGGCGGACGGGUGAGGAAUACAUCGGAAUCUACCUUUUCGUGGGGGAUAACGUAGGGAAACUUACGCUAAUACCGCAUACGUCCUAAGGGAGAAAGUGGGGGAUCGCAAGACCUCACGCGGAUAGAUGAGCCGAUGUCGGAUUAGCUAGUUGGCGGGGUAAAGGCCCACCAAGGCGACGAUCCGUAGCUGGUCUGAGAGGAUGAUCAGCCACACUGGAACUGAGACACGGUCCAGACUCCUACGGGAGGCAGCAGUGGGGAAUAUUGGACAAUGGGCGCAAGCCUGAUCCAGCCAUACCGCGUGGGUGAAGAAGGCCUUCGGGUUGUAAAGCCCUUUUGUUGGGAAAGAAAUCCUGUUGAUUAAUACUCGAUAGGGAUGACGGUACCCAAAGAAUAAGCACCGGCUAACUUCGUGCCAGCAGCCGCGGUAAUACGAAGGGUGCAAGCGUUACUCGGAAUUACUGGGCGUAAAGCGUGCGUA